AGAAAAACGAAACAUGAUUAGGUAACGUAAUAGGUUAGAGUAGACAAGUUGAGAUUUGCUACAAACAACAACAUGCGAAUUACGUCACAGAAUUGAAAUUGACAAUUGGUCAAUUUUCAUAUAGCAGGAAGGCGGUGGCGUAAAUUAGAAUGGUUAGUGUUUUCAUACAUAAACAUAAUGUGUUUGAGCUAAAUUAGUUAUUAUCUGUUUGGUGAAAAGGACAAAUAGAUUUUAAUCGCGUCUAACUCAUACAUCAGCUCUUUCAAAUACAUUUUAGUUUAUCAUGGUCAUUAAGAGUAAGCUGAAGUUGAUUUUUGCGACUUGUUAUCAAAGUUUGAGUAAGCAUGCACGCCUAGCUGACGUUCAAAGCAGUCUGCCGUUGCAAGGGUCCCUACUAGUUGACAAUUGUUUAUGUUGUCCAACUUAAAACUUAAUUAAGAGUGAAAAUGCUAAUUAUGGAUGCAAUUGUUUUGAGUGGUAUGAAAAAGAAUACAAUGAUGAAGUGCAACCAAAAAUAUAAAGUAGAUGUGUUAAUUGUUCAAAAUAUAAGGAAAAUGAUGUUGAAAUCAACACACCCAAAAGGGCCAUUAAGAAGAUCCAUGAAGAUGACAACUAUACUAAGGAGGUGAUGAAGACCAUAUUGAAGAUGUUUAAGAUGUUCGUUUUUGUCAUAAUAUUCUUAGUUUUGAUUUUUGUAGUGUUAAUGUGUAUUUUGGUCAAGUAGUGGUGACUAUGGUUAAUGUUGAUGUUAGUAUUGUAAGAAAUGUUGUUAAUGUUAUACGGUAAUCAUUUUAUUAAUGUGUUUCUUUCUUCAA